GAUGAACGCUAGCGGCAGGCUUAACACAUGCAAGUCGAGGGGCAGCACAGUGUAGCAAUACAUGGGUGGCGACCGGCGCACGGGUGCGUAACGCGUAUCCAACCUUCCCGUUACUCUUGGAUAGCCUUCCGAAAGGGAGAUUAAUACAAGAUGGUAUUCAAAUUCCGCAUGUUACUUGAAUUAAAGAUUAAUCGGUAACGGAUGGGGAUGCGUGACAUUAGAUAGUAGGCGGGGUAACGGCCCACCUAGUCUACGAUGUCUAGGGGUUCUGAGAGGAAGGUCCCCCACACUGGAACUGAGACACGGUCCAGACUCCUACGGGAGGCAGCAGUGAGGAAUAUUGGUCAAUGGCCGGAAGGCUGAACCAGCCAAGUAGCGUGAAGGAUGAAGGUUCUAUGGAUUGUAAACCUCUUUUAUGAGGGAAUAAAACCUCCCACGUGUGGGAGCUUGUAUGUACCUUAUGAAUAAGCAUCGGCUAACUCCGUG
rnacentral:rRNA from 1 species